GACCAUGCUAAGGUGAAGAGGUGUUCAUCCUUGUAGGUCGUUCUUGCCCUUGGAAAGGCUUUGCUUGGAGUCUGCAUGCUCUGCUCUGUCUGUCUGAAAAGCCCACACCCCUUUCCUGACCCUCAACAGAGCAGUGUGAUGUCGAGAAGUAUUUCAGCGGUAAGAGGCUGACUUCAAUUCAGGAGAUGAGACUUGAGGUGACCUGGAUGAGGAUAAGGUGGAGAGGAAGAAAUCUCAGAAAUCUGGAAGUUUCUAACAGCGUUCUAUUGGGGAUAGAGGAUUAAUCAUGGUGUUUACAUACUACAAUGAUCUGUAGCUUCCAGUACUUAUACCCAACAAGGCCCAAAAAUGAUGCAUUACUGUGAGGUUUGUUUGUUUGCCUUCCUAAAUGUGCAUCUGGCCAUCUUUCUGUAAAACCAGCUGGCCAAACUCACCAUCUACUACUACUAAUAAACUUAUCUGUCAGCAACUUAUCUGUCAUGCAUUUUUGUGCCUAUCUUUUUAAACU